CAAACUUAGAUCUUAAAUCACUAGCAACUUAAUUUUUGUGUAUGCUGUAAGGUGGAGAGCUGUAUUCAUUUCUACACUGCUGUAACAAAUUACCAAGGUCACAGGAUUUAAACAAUACAACUUUAUUCUCUUACAGUUCUGGGGGUCAGUAAACCAAAGUCAGUCUAAGUUGGGGUAAAAACGUGGUGAUGUCUGGGUUGUGUUCCUUCUGUCUUUUAAAAUUUAUUUUUCAUUUUAUUUAUGUAUUUAAAAUUGUAUUUUGUUGUGUUUCUUCUGGCAGUUCUAGGGCAGAAUCCAUUUCCUCGCCUUUUCUAGCCUUGAGAAGCUGCCUGCGCUCCUUGACUCCUGGCCCCCCAUCACUCCAGUCUUUGCUUCCAUUGCCACAUCUCUGGCUCCUCUGCCUCCCUCUUUCCCAUGUAAGGACCCUUGUGAUUACACUGGGCCCACUGGAAUAAUCAGGAUAAUCUCCCAUCUCAAGAUGAGAUCCUUCAUCAUGUAUGCCAAGCCCCCUCUGCCGUGUGGAAGCCAACACAAACUCAGGUUCCAGGGAUUAGGACGUGGACGUCUUUGGGGGACCAUUAUUCUGCCGACCACAGGGUCUCAUUUAAUUUUCUUCUCUUUUCUCUCAGCUCAUUUGCUGAUUAGCUAUCCUGCCCCGGCUCGUCUAUGGUUGGGACUGGCAAACUACAGUCCAUGGGCUGAAUCUGCCCACCGGCUGUUUGUAAAUAACGUUUUAUCAGAACACGGCCAUCCUUAUAUCCUAAUGUGUUGUCUGCCUUUGCAGCACAACAGCAGAGCUGGGUAGUAGUGGCAGACCCUGUAUGGCCUGCAAAACCUAAUAAGAUCUACUGCCCGGCCCUUUACAGAAGAAAUUUGCCAGCCUCUGAGUAUAUAGUGAGGAGCAUCUCCUGACAGGAUCUUGUAAGCAUAGGUCUGUUUCUGAGCUCCCAGUGCCCUCUCUCCAGCCUGUUCCCAAACCGACAUCACCAGCCUCAUGACAGCUGUGUAAUAAUUCUUCGAAUGGGGGGAGGUGA
ensembl:lncRNA